GGUCGGGUGGCCGAGUGGUUAGGCGAAGGUCUGCAAGACCUUUUACAGGUUGGUUCGAACCCCCUUCCGACCU
rnacentral:tRNA from 1 species